UAGGGAAUCUUCCGCAGUGGACGAAAGUCUGACGGAGCAACGCCGCGUGAGUGAAGAAGGUUUUCGGAUCGUAAAACUCUGUUGUCAGAGAAGAACAAGUUGGAGAGUAACUGCUCCAGCCUUGACGGUAUCUGACCAGAAAGCCACGGCUAACUACGUG
rnacentral:rRNA from 1 species